rnacentral:rRNA from 1 species
GAUGAACGCUGGCGGCGUGCAUAACACAUUCAAGUCGAACGGAGUUAUUUGAAUUAAUCCUUCGGGAAGCGUGAGGAUAACUUAGUGGCGGACGGGUGAGUAACGCGUGAGCAACCUGCCUCUGUAUAUGGGAUAACGUCGGGAAGCUGACGCUAAUACCGUAUGAAGCAUAGACACCGCAUGAUGACUAUGCCAAAGAUUUUAUUGUACAGAGAUGGGCUCGCGUCUGAUUAGGCAGUUGGUGAGGUAACGGCUCACCAAGCCGACGAUCAGUAGCCGGACUGAGAGGUUGAACGGCCACAUUGGAACUGAGAUACGGUCCAG